AAUGGCCGGUUUGAGUUCUCACGCCACUCCUCUGGGAAGUGCUGUGAUCUCUCUGUUAAGCUAUGGGAGUUGUUUUUCAAGCUUUGGUGAUUUGCCUGCUGAUGUGAGUUCACAAAUCAGGUGUGUAAUAAUUUUAAUCUGCAUCUUGUUCUAUAAAAAUUAUGUAGUCUUAUUUCUUGUUGUACUACAUUCUGUAAGCAUGACAUGAUUUAAGGUUUAUUUUAGGCACUUAGAAUGAGAUCAUGCGAACUUUAUGCAACCCUUUUGGUACAUGAGAAAUGCUUUAAAGGAUCCGGUUCUAACAAUGUGAGACAAAGCAUCCAACAC